AGAGCUAAAACCGUAAACAUGAAGUUGGGAGGGAGGUAGAGGAGUCUCCUGCUGCACUGAACGUCCCAGUUCUUUUUGAGAAAUUGCAUCAAAAAGAGGAAAUGAAGAACAUUAGGAAGAAGGAAUUGUGCAACUCAAUGCAGAAGAGGAUUCUCACCAGAGCCUGGGUUUGUGUUUGUUUUUUAUUUUAGGGCUUAGAAGAAGGCUGUCUUGUGUGGCCCUUUUUCAGUCUUCCAACAUGUGUGGAGAGAAGAAAUAACUUAUGGAAUAGAGCCUGAAAAAUCAUCACCAUCUGUAGUGAUGAAGUGCCAGUAGGGAAACUGUUCCUGUGAAGGAUGUUUUGCAUCACCCGUGAGAGCAAGACAUAAGAGCGCAGCUGUCAAAGGGGAGAAAGACAUUUUGCAUCAGUGAAAGAUUUGUGAUGCCUCGGAAACGACUGCCUUACAUUAGUUCAACUGGGAGAAAAACAGGCAAACCUCCCUUUAGUUCCACUGCUCUCCAGCAUCAACAGCAGACUAAUCGCAGGAAACUCACCCAGCAGCCCCAGGCUUCCUCUCAACGUUACCCAGGACCUUCAUCUAUCCUCCUUCCAGACACCAACGUAACGCCUUGGGGUGGCCUGGCUCAUCCUGAAUCUUCCUUUACAAUAAAGGCUCCGAC